rnacentral:lncRNA from 1 species
GUGGAUCUCUCAUGAGCAGCUUGGUAUCCUCUUUGAGAAAACCAACCACCAGGACUCCCAGAUAGUAUCAAGAAACUGAAACUCACCAGAUCACUGCCUCUGGACCAUGAGAUGUCAGAUCCCUCACCUGUCACGAUUGCCUAACUGACCACCUGCUUCCUGUUGACCAUCUCCUCUUCCCUACCCUCCUUAGUUCUUGUUUUCCCAUACAUUGUUACAUUUC